rnacentral:rRNA from 1 species
UACGGAGGGUGCUAGCGUUGUUCGGAAUUACUGGGCGUAAAGCGUGCGCAGGCGGUUCGUUGUGUCUGAUGUGAAAGCCCCGGGCUCAACCUGGGAAUGGCAUUGGAAACUGGCGAGCUAGAGUGUGGCAGAGGGGGGUGGAAUUCCGCGUGUAGCAGUGAAAUGCGUAGAGAUGCGGAGGAACACCGAUGGCGAAGGCAGCCCCCCUGGGCUGACACUGACGCUCAGGCACGAAAGCGUGGGGAGCAAACAGG